rnacentral:rRNA from 1 species
CCUACGGGGGGCAGCAGUGGGGGAUAUUGCACAAUGGGGGAAACCCUGAUGCAGCGACGCCGCGUGGGUGAAGAAGUAUUUCGGUAUGUAAAGCCCUAUCAGCAGGGAAGAAAGAAGACGGUACCUGACUAAGAAGCCCCGGCUAACUACGUGCCCGCAGCCGCGGUAAUACGUAGGGGGCGAGCGUUAUCCGGAUUCACUGGGUGUAAAGGGAGCGUAGACGGCCGUGCAAGCCAGGAGUGAAAGCCCGGGGCCCAACCCCGGGACUGCUCUUGGAACUGUGCGGGUGGAGUGCGGGAGGGGCAGGCGGAAUUCCUGGUGUAGCGGUGAAAUGCGUAGAUAUCAGGAGGAACACCGGCGGCGAAGGCGGCCUGCUGGACCGCGACUGACGUUGAGGCUCGAAAGCGUGGGGAGCGAACAGGAUUAGAUACCCCUGUAGUC